rnacentral:rRNA from 1 species
UACGGGGGGGGCAAGCGUUGUUCGGAAUUACUGGGCGUAAAGGGCGCGUAGGCGGUCCGCUAAGUUGGAUGUGAAAACUCUGGGCUUAACCCAGAGCCUGCAUCCAAAACUGGCAAACUUGAGUACUGGAGGGGAAAGCGGAAUUCCUGGUGUAGCGGUGAAAUGCGUAGAUAUCAGGAGGAACACCGGUGGCGAAGGCGGCAUCCUGGACCAUUACUGACACUGAAUAGCGAAAGCCAGGGGAGCAAACGGG